rnacentral:rRNA from 1 species
CCUACGGGAGGCAGCAGUAAGGAAUAUUGGUCAAUGGGCGCAAGCCUGAACCAGCCAUGCCGCGUGCAGGAAGACGGCCCUAUGGGUUGUAAACUGCUUUUGAACAAGAGAAAACCUCGGUACGUGUACCGAGCUGAUAGUAUUGUUAGAAUAAGCAUCGGCUAACUUCGUGCCAGCAGCCGCGGUAAGACGAAGGAUGCAAGCGUUAUCCGGAUUCAUUGGGUUUAAAGGGUGCGUAGGCGGCCUGAUAAGUCAGUGGUGAAAUCUCUCAGCUUAACCGAGAAACUGCCAUUGAUACUGUCGGGCUUGAGUACAGAUGAUGUGGGCGGAAUAUGACAUGUAGUGGUGAAAUACUUAGAUAUGUCAUAGAACACCGAUUGCGAAGGCAGCUCACAAAACUGUAACUGACGCUGAGGCACGAAAGUGCGGGGAUCAAACAGGAUUAGAUACCCUGGUAGUCCGCACCGUAAACGAUGAUUACUCGUUGUUGGCAAUAUGACCGUCAGCGACCAAGCGAAAGCGAUAAGAAUCCACCGNGGAGACGCGCGACGAGAACGANAAGAGAGUAGACGCGNGAGAGNGCGAGGCGACGACGAGGGAGAGG